rnacentral:tRNA from 1 species
AGGGACUUAGGCUAAUUUCCAGACCAAGGGCCUUCAAAGCCCUAAGCGAGAGUUAAAAUCUUUCAGUCCCUG